rnacentral:rRNA from 1 species
GACGAACGCUGGCGGCGUGCCUAAUACAUGCAAGUCGAACGAGAGCGACCGGUGCUUGCACUGGUCAAUCUAGUGGCGAACGGGUGAGUAACACGUGGGUAACCUGCCCAUCAGAGGGGGAUAACAUCCGGAAACGGAUGCUAAAACCGCAUAGGUCUUCGAACCGCAUGGUUUGAAGAGGAAAAGAGGCGCAAGCUUCUGCUGAUGGAUGGCCCCGCGGUGCAUUAGCUAGUUGGUGAGGUAACGGCUCACCAAGGCCGUGAUGCAUAGCCGACCUGAGAGGGUGAUCGGCCACAUUGGGACUGAGACACGGCCCAAACUCCUACGGGAGGCAGCAGUAGGGAAUCUUCCGCAAUGGACGCAAGUCUGACGGAGCAACGCCGCGUGAGUGAAGAAGGUUUUCGGAUCGUAAAACUCUGUUGUUAGAGAAGAACAAGUGCUAGAGUAACUGUUAGCGCCUUGACGGUAUCUAACCAGAAAGCCACGGCUAACUACGUG